AAAGUCGUAACAAGGUUUCCGUAGGUGAACCUGCGGAAGGAUCAUUACUGAAUGACCUGCACCUUCUUGUAGCGGACCUAGGGGGUUUCCCUCUGUGGGGGGAGCCCCUUUGGUCUGCUAUGCUUCACAAUCAAACUCGUCGUUGCAUGAUGAUGUGGGUCGCAUCCUUUUGUUGGGUUGCACCCUCAAAGUAUGGAAAUAUAAAUAUAACUUUCAACAACGGAUCUCUUGGCUCUC
rnacentral:misc_RNA from 1 species